AUGCACGCUGGCGGCGUGCUUCAUACAUGCAAGUCGAGCGAACAGACGAGGAGCUUGCUCCUCUGACGUUAGCGGCGGACGGGUGAGUAACACGUGGAUAACCUACCUAUAAGACUGGGAUAACUUCGGGAAACCGGAGCUAAUACCGGAUAAUAUAUUGAACCGCAUGGUUCAAUAGUGAAAGACGGUUUUGCUGUCACUUAUAGAUGGAUCCGCGCCGCAUUAGCUAGUUGGUAAGGUAACGGCUUACCAAGGCAACGAUGCGCAGCCGACCUGAGAGGGUGAUCGGCCACACUGGAACUGAGACACGGUCCAGACUCCUACGGGAGGCAGCAGUAGGGAAUCUUCCGCAAUGGGCGAAAGCCUGACGGAGCAACGCCGCGUGAGUGAUGAAGGUCUUCGGAUCGUAAAACUCUGUUAUUAGGGAAGAACAAAUGUGUAAGUAACUAUGCACGUCUUGACGGUACCUAAUCAGAAAGCCACGGCUAACUACGUG
rnacentral:rRNA from 1 species